UGGGGAAUUUUGCGCAAUGGGCGAAAGCCUGACGCAGCAACGCCGCGUGGGUGAUGAAGGUCUUCGGAUCGUAAAACCCUGUCGUCAGGGACGAAGGUGCGGGUCAUAACAUGGUCCGUGCUUGACGGUACCUGGAGAGGAAGCCCCGGCUAACUCUGUGCCAGCAGCCGCGGUAAUACAGAGGGGGCAAGCGUUAUUCGGAAUUACUGGGCGUAAAGGGCGCGUAGGCGGUUGUUUAAGUCAGAUGUGUAAUCCCCGGGCUCAACCUGGGAACUGCAUCUGAGACUGGAGAGCUAGAGUGCUGGAGAGGGUGGUGGAAUUCCACGUGUAGCGGUGAAAUGCGUAGAGAUGUGGAGGAACACCAGUGGCGAAGGCGGCCACCUGGACAGCAACUGACGCUGAGGCGCGAAAGUGUGGGGAGCAAACAGG
rnacentral:rRNA from 1 species